UUGGUGCUUAUGUCAAGAAGACAGCGAAGGCUGGAGAUUUACUGACUGUAAACACUGACAUCACCAAAAGACCAACUGAACCUAUGCUGUGGUAUUUCAACAACACCAUCAUCGCUCUAAUUAAUGGAGAGGCCAGUACGAGCUGUCUGUAUGGUGGUGAUAGUGGAAGAUUCAAAGACAGACUGGAGGUGGACUAUAAGACUGGAUCUCUGACCAUCACGAACAUCACAGCUGAACACACCGGAGUUUAUGAAGCAGAGAUCAUCAGAAGUAGUAGCCUAGGAACUAGCCAAAGAAUAAACCGAACCAGCAAGUGUGACAGCACUAAAGUGAUUUCAAAAACCAAACAGCAACAUGGGCAACACCAUAAAAACAUGCAUUGUUUCUGUCAGCGAUCCUGAAACAAAUUAUAAACCUAUCAACGUGGACCCGCAAGAUUCUGACAAGACAAAUUCAGGUCUGUCUGCUGGUGCUGUAGCUGCAAUAUGUGCUGCUGGUCUACUGAUUGCAGCUGUAGUGGGUUUUGUGAUUUACCGUCAUCAAAAGAACAAGGCUA